rnacentral:lncRNA from 1 species
AGCCUCAUACCUGGGUAACAGGGUAGUCAAACCAACCAAAUCUUUUCAUAUGAAAGCAUUCUUAGUACAACAUGCUGGUCAGUACCCAAAUACAGAGCUUCUAUGUAGUUUAUGUACACAAAAGUAUACUUGCUUUACCCCAAAAGAAAGAAGCCCUGAUACCAAAUUAACGUGUCUCUGGCAGCUAUCAGUGGUGAGGAUCUGAAAGAAAAAAGUAAAUGAACGGAUAUGAGCUACACGGCUCAGUAAGUAAUCAUACAUAAUCUUACCGGAUCGAACAUAAUGGUAACCAUGUUUAUG